UGAGACUGAAGUUGAAGAGUUCUGUUUUCAAGUUUGGUCUUUGGUAGUUUCUUAGAAUUAAAUUCAAACUAAACUCAGGAGUAUAUAUUUUCCCAGUUAUUAUUCUUUUUCAAGAAUUUAUAAACUCUUGUAGUUUUCUGGUUCUCAAUGGCUUUCAUAGGAUUUGGAAAGGUCAAGGAUUUUUCACGAAAGAUCGUAUCCACAUUUAAAACCAGAUUCACAGUAACAGACUCACUCUCUCAUUGCUGGAAGAGAAGACAUAGAGAAAUGGUGCGGUGAGAAGCAAUAAAAAGGAAACAAAAGUGGAAAAAGCUAUCUUUUGAGGUUAACUAACUCUUGAGGUAACAUCUUAGGGAGUGGAAACCUAAAGGGGACUUGAAGCCCGAGUGAAGGAGACAAGAAAAGCAUAGAAACACUUGGAGAGGAGCAACAUUUCUUUGGUUGUAUGUGCACUUUUCAUUUAUUUGAGUUGUAAAUUUUACUUGUUUUGCUUCUUGUAAUCUUGGCCUAAUUAGGUGUCUUGGGGGAGCCUUUGGUGUUCAAUCCCAUCUCUUAAUUAGAACCUUACUUUCUUAUAGUGAAGCGCAUAUUAGUUGGUAAGUGCUUUGAAGGUUCUAAGUGCCUUCUAGUCUUACCAUUAGGCCGCAUAGUUUAGUUUAAUUGCUUUCUUUAUUUGUUUAUACUUUAGGAUGUGUCUACUUGCCUUUCAAACUUAAUUUCUAGUUUAUUUGCUUAUAGUUGCUCCAAUUUUCAAUUUUGAUAUCUUGUUUUAGUCGGAAAGCAAAAAUGGAAUUGGGUUACGUGGGUAUCCUGAAUUGAAUUGACCGAGUGUGGCUAAGGUUUUUAUUCCUUGUAAAAUUGCACACACAUAUGUUAAAGUUGUCUUUUGUAAAUGAUUCAUGAAGCUUUUUGUGCCGAUCAGGGGUAACAACUUAUAGUGCCUCCAAUUUUAAAAGUCCUAUGCUAAGGUUGAUAUUGUGUCUCCAAUUUUGAGUUGUUGCUUAUAAUUUAGUUGUGAGAUGAAGGUGAUGGAUGUCAUCAUGAAGAGACAACAGAUUAGGACAACUUGUGACACACAAUGUUUUCAUAAAAGUCAUAAUU